UACGUAGGGGCCUAGCGUUGUCCGGAUUCAUUGGGCGUAAAGAGCUCGUAGGCGGUCUGUUGCGUCCGCUGUGAAAACUCGGGGCUUAACCCCGAGCCUGCAGUGGAUACGGGCAGACUAGAGGUAGGUAGGGGAGAAUGGAAUUCCCGGUGUAGCGGUGAAAUGCGCAGAUAUCGGGAGGAACACCGGUGGCGAAGGCGGUUCUCUGGGCCUUACCUGACGCUGAGGAGCGAAAGCGUGGGGAGCGAACAGG
rnacentral:rRNA from 1 species